rnacentral:rRNA from 1 species
GGAUUAGAUACCCUGGUAGUCUACGCCGUAAACGAUGGAUAUUCGGUGUUCACUUAAUUGGGAGUGAGCGCCUGAGCGAAAGCGUUAAAUAUCCCACCUGGGGAGUACGUCGGCAACGAUGAAACUCAAAGGAAUUGACGGGGGUCCGCACAAGCGGUGGAGUAUGUGGUUUAAUUCGAUGAUACGCGAGGAACCUUACCUGGGCUCGAAUUGCUCUUGACAGGUUCAGAAAUGAACUGUUCUUCGGACAGGAGUGAAGGUGCUGCAUGGUUGUCGUCAGCUCGUGCUG